GCUUAUGCGUUGUUGGGUAGGGGAGCGUUCUGUAAGCCUGUGAAGGUGGCCUGUGAGGGUUGCUGGAGGUAUCAGAAGUGCGAAUGCUGACAUAAGUAACGAUAAAGCGGGUGAAAAGCCCGCUCGCCGGAAGACCAAGGGUUCCUGUCCAACGUUAAUCGGGGCAGGGUGAGUCGACCCCUAAGGCGAGGCCGAAAGGCGUAGUCGAUGGGAAACGGGUUAAUAUUCCCGUACUUGGUGUUACUGCGAAGGGGGGACGGAGAAGGCUAUGUUGGCCGGGCGACGGUUGUCCCGGUUUAAGCGUGUAGGUGUGUGUUCCAGGUAAAUCCGGUUCACUUUAACACUGAGGCGUGACGACGAGGCACUACGGUGCUGAAGCAACAAAUGCCCUGCUUCCAGGAAAAGCCUCUAAGCAUCAGGUAACAUCAAAUCGUACCCCAAACCGACACAGGUGGUCAGGUAGAGAAUACCAAGGCGCUUGAGAGAACUCGGGUGAAGGAACUAGGCAAAAUGGUGCCGUAACUUCGGGAGAAGGCACGCUGACACGUAGGUGAAGUGAUUUACUCAUGGAGCUGAA
rnacentral:rRNA from 1 species